rnacentral:snoRNA from 11 species
UCUAUUUCUAUAUGAUGAUUUUUUCAAGUAGGAAUCUCAUUGAGCUUCAGUCAUUCGUUGCCAUGAAAUCAACUUCUUUUCCUGAACAUAAUAUC